ACCGUGUUCAAAUAAGGCAAACGCCAGCCUGUAACCAAUCCAGCUGCUCUGUACCUCACUUCCCAAUUUCUGUACGUUAUUUACCUUUUUUGUCUAUAAAUAUUCUUCCACCAUGUGGCUGCACUGGAGUCUCUGAAUCUGCUGUUUCUGGGGGCUGCCCAAUUUGUGAACUGUUCGUUGCUCAGUUAAGCUCCUUUAAGUUUAAUUCGGCUGAAGUUUUUCUUUCAUCAGAGAGAUGGGAAGCCAUUGAGGUGGUAGUGGUAGACGGGAGGGCAGCAGCGUUGAUGGACAUGGAUGAGAGCAGGUGUGCAUUCUACAAGGUCAAUGCUAGCUACGGAAAAAACAAUUGGGCGGGAGGAAUACAGUAUGGAGAGAGGAGGAUCCAUUCUAGGAAGCUAUUCUCAGAUCUAGAAGAAAGGAUCUGAGUGACAGGCUUAGGUGCGUUGUCUGCGUCCCAGGAACAGAGCAAAGCACACUGGCUCAGGCAUGAGGAAGCCACACCCCAAUCCUGCCUUUCAGGUGCCAAUGGAGAACAACCCCUUCAGCGGAACCAUGGUGCUUUACAUCUCUCUCUGAACUCUCAGAUCUCCUAAGUGGAGAUGGCUGAUUAAGGCUCUUAUCUUUCACGUUCUAAAAUCAAUUUAGUGUUGUUCGGAGCCAGCAAUGUUAAAAUAUAUUUGUAUUUUGAAACAAAGUUAACAUAGAGAAAUGAAAAAUAAAAUGUUGAGAAUUUUACAUUUAAUUGCAGAUAUAAUUCUGUGUUCUGUAUGUUACUUAGUUUUCUAUCUUAAAUAGUUUGAAGGUAAACACUUCUUUUAC
rnacentral:lncRNA from 1 species